UCCCCCGACUCCAGCUUCUCCGACGCAAGCAGAUUUUUGCACCAACAAAUUUGAUUCAAAAUAGGAUAGAAAUCUCUCUAAUUAGGGCAUGAAAGAUUUUUUUUUGUGUGACAAAAAAUUUUGAGAAAGUUGGGACGUGCACUAAUUGUUGACGUGAGACAUCUCUCCUUUCUUCCCUUAUCUCAACGCAUCUCAUCCAUUCUUUUUGUUUUGGAUGCCCAAGAUCAAAUGGGAUUUGAUCUUUUAAGGCAUUAAGAAGGAUUUGGGAUAUGAGAGAUCUGGUUGGAGUGACAAAAAUAAAAAGAAAAGAGAUG
rnacentral:lncRNA from 1 species